GUGACAACAAAAAGAGAGGGAACCAUCAAACCAAUCUAUAAGUAAUUUUUAAGCACCUACCGCAUGCCAGAAACUGUGCUAAAGGUUGGGUUUACAAAGACAAAAGCAAAACGCUGUUUGCUCUCAAGAAGCUCACUUUUUGUUGGGAGAGAGAUGCACAGAACGAGCCUUCUCCAGAGUGAAGAAUUGUGUUAAUGAAUUCACACCCAAUAGCACCACAAAGCUGGCCUUUGGUCUUCUGAGCACUGCCUGGGAGGCUGGAAGUCACAGAGUCCCUUGGCCUCCAGGAGAGGACUCUCCAUUGUCCUGCAUUCAGGUCAUUAUUUCAGAGCUGGAGGGAACUGAGGUGUCAGCGGAGCUAAGCUUCCUGUCUACAGAAGGAGAGAUUGGUGCCCAGUCUGAA